GAUGAAUCCAACCAAUGCGACCACGGUUACCUCGGCUUGGUUUCGCGGUCGGUCGUUCCACAGCGGCUGGGUUCCACUGUUUUUCAAUAUGCAGCACGUGGUCGACGUAGCGUGAUUCACAAGCCUCGCUUCUCAGCCGACAGACUCCACCCCGACGGCGACCUCUGCCCUUAUGGAAAAAAAACUGAAGCAAGAGCAUGACUUCACUAUGCCUUAUAUCUUUACUUGGAACUACGUCUGCGUGGUGCGAGAACUGAAACGAGG